rnacentral:tRNA from 1 species
GUUCGGUUAGCUCAGCUGGAAGAGCGCUGCGCCCACACCGCAGAGGACGGCGGUUCGAGCCCGUCACCGAGCA